UACAGAGGUCUCAAGCGUUGUUCGGAUUCAUUGGGCAUAAAGGGUGCGUAGGCGGCGCGGUAAGUCGGGUGUGAAAUCUCGGAGCUUAACUCCGAAACUGCAUUCGAUACUGCCGUGCUUGAGGACUGGAGAGGAGACUGGAAUUUACGGUGUAGCGGUGAAAUGCGUAGAUAUCGUAAGGAAGACCAGUGGCGAAGGCGGGUCUCUGGACAGUUCCUGACGCUGAGACUCGAAAGCGUGGGGAGCAAACGGG
rnacentral:rRNA from 1 species